rnacentral:rRNA from 1 species
AGUGAACGCUGGCGGUAGGCCUAACACAUGCAAGUCGAACGGCAGCACAGUAAGAGCUUGCUCUUACGGGUGGCGAGUGGCGGACGGGUGAGGAAUACAUCGGAAUCUACUUUUUCGUGGGGGAUAACGUAGGGAAACUUACGCUAAUACCGCAUACGACCUACGGGUGAAAGCAGGGGAUCUUCGGACCUUGCGCGAUUGAAUGAGCCGAUGUCGGAUUAGUUAGUUGGCGGGGUAAAGGCCCACCAAGGCGACGAUCCGUAGCUGGUCUGAGAGGGUGAUCAGCCACACUGGAACUGAGACACGGUCCAGACUCCUACGGGAGGCAGCAGUGGGGAAUAUUGGACAAUGGGCGCAAGCCUGAUCCAGCCAUGCCGCGUGGGUGAAGAAGGCCUUCGGGUUGUAAAGCCCUUUUGUUGGGAAAGAAAAGCAGCAGGUUAAUACCCCGCUGUUCUGACGGUACCCAAAGAAUAAGCACCGGCUAACUUCGUG